rnacentral:rRNA from 1 species
GACGUGCGCAGGCGGUUAUGUAAGACAGAUGUGAAAUACCCCGGGCCUCAACCUGGGAACUGCAUUAGUGACUGCAUAGCUGGAGUACGGCAGAGGGGGAUGGAAUUCCGCGUGUAGCAGUGAAAUGCGUAGAUAUGCGGAGGAACACCGAUGGCGAAGGCAAUCCCCUGGGCCUGUACUGACGCUCAUGCACGAAAGCGUGGGGAGCAAACAGGAUUAGAUACCCGGGU